rnacentral:lncRNA from 1 species
CUGCUGUGUGCAAGGAACCCAGGUAUCUAAAUUAUAUGGAGGAAGGCAUACUGGAAAAACAUAUACAUUUGUUUUAUUAAUAUAUUUCAUACAACCUUUCCAUUGACUGUUGCAAUUUGGUCCUAUUUACACCUCAUGGAUUUUAAUGCUUAAUGUCUCCUGCACCUGACCUCUCUGAAUAAAGGUCUCUGAUAGCGGAAUAGUCAUGUUUUCUCUUCUACCACCUAUUCUCCCCACAGAUGGUCUGUUUUGUCAAGCAUGCUGAAAGGAAAGGACUGACAUCUAAAUGAGAAUGAAGUUGGUUGCUCCCUUGAGUGUACCAGGCUGGAUGUACUGAGGCAGAGUUUGGAUCUCUGAAGUCUCCAUCUGGCUUUGUGGGUCUUUAGUGCUGGGAUUAUGCAGUGACACCCCAAAUAUACACAUGCUUCAUCGGAGGCAGAGUCACCUCUGCUGCAUGGCUUUAUUUUAAAGUCUGGCCCCUCUUCUGUAAGGCUGCUGUGGUUUUCUGGGGGUCCACUCCAGACCCUAUUCACCUGGGUCCCUCCCGCACCUGGAGGUGUCAGCAGUGGAGACUGCAGAACAGCAAACAUGGCUGGUUGCUCCUUCCUCUUGGAACCCUGUCACAGAAGGGCAGCCAUCUGAUGCCAGCAGGAACACUCCUGUAUAAGGUGUCUGGCAACCCCUGUUGGCAUGUCUCACCCAGUCAGGAGGCACCAGAUCAGUGACCCACUUAAUGUACUCUGGCUGCCCCUUGGCAGAGCAGGUGCCCUGCACUGGGGGAAGUCCUCCUCAUGUGGACUGCCCAGCCUCUUCAGAGCAAGCAGGCAGGAAAGACAAAGUCCACUAAACUGUGGAAACUGUGGCCACCCCUCCUCCCAGGGUCUCCAUCCCAGAGAGUUCAGAGUUCUGUCUGUAAACCCCUGGCUAGAAUUGCUGAAAUUCCCAGGGAGGCCCCACCCUGUGAGGAGGAAUGGAUUCAGGUCCCACCUAAAGAAGCAGUCUGGCCAUUAUCUGCCACAGCUGCUGUACUGCACUGUGGGAAUUCCUCCCAGUCCAAACUGCCCAGCUUCCCUGGCACCAGCAGGGGAGAAUGACAGACUGGAGCCACAGUGAUGGUCAUCACCCCUCUCCCCAGGAACCUGGUCAUCUUAGGGAGUCUCCAGACUGCUGCCGCUGGCUACAACUCAAGCAGCCACCAAGAGUUUACAUGAUUCUGUGCUCAGGAUCCAAGGCCCUGAUGGCAUAGGCUCACAGGGGGAUCUCCUGAUCCACAGAAAAAGCAUGGUUUCCCUGGUGAGGUAGCACAAUCACUCACCACCUCCCUUGGUUGGGGGUAGGAAUUCCCCUUAACCUAUGUGGCUCUCAGGUGGGCUGUGGCUCCACCUUGCUUUUUCUCACUCUCUGGGUGUUGUACCAACUGUCUAGUUGGUCCCAAUGAGAAAAACCUGAAUACCUGUGCUGAAGGUGUAGGAUUUACUUGCCAUUUUCAUUCUUCUCCAUGAGAGCCACUGACAGCAGCUGCUUCUAGUCAGCCAUCUUGCC